rnacentral:sRNA from 1 species
UGAUACGGAUCUUUUGCUAAAAUCACAAACGUCCUGUUUGUGACGCAAAAGUCAACGCGUCCUGCGUA